UGAGUUUCCACCGGUGCACACAGGUUGUAGAUUUGAGGGUUUUGUUUCUUUGUUUUUUGAUUUAUUUGUUUAUUUUUGAGUUUUUGGCUAUUUCCUUGAAGAUUAUAGAUCUGAUUCCUUAGGGGAUAUAGCAAAAUGAUCAUGGAUGGAAUUUCAGCACUGUCCACCGUUCCGUUUCCCCUGAGUCAUCACCACAAAGAAAGCUUUCUCUGGACUCUCUCUUCUCUUCCCUGUGAGCCUGUGAGCUCUUAGAGAAUUUCUUGAAGGAAAAACAUGAAAGGGAGGCGUUGACUUUCUUUCUGUAACCUGCAGUAUCUUCACACUCUCAUGCUAGCCCACACUUGACUUUAAGGAAUUCUUAAAAUUCCAAGCUGCAGCUUCUUACUAGUUUCUAUGGUGUUCUGUGGCCUCUACGACAGUUUAUUUUUAUGAAUUUCAGCCAAGGAGUUGUCACCCUCCUAAAGCACUACAAUUAAAUCUAGAUUGCUAUUCCCAUCUGAGUAUUUAUG
rnacentral:lncRNA from 1 species